UACGGAGGGUGCAAGCGUUAUCCGGAUUUACUGGGUUUAAAGGGUGUGUAGGCGGACAUUUAAGUCAGUGGUGAAAUCCCGGGGCUCAACCCCGGAACUGCCUUUGAUACUAUAUGUCUUGAAUCUUGUUGAGGUGGGCGGAACGGGUCAUGUAGCGGUGAAAUGCAUAGAUAUGACCCGGAACACCGAUUGCGAAGGCAGCCCGCUAAGCAAGUAUUGACGCUGAGGCACGAAAGCGUGGGGAUCAAACAGG
rnacentral:rRNA from 1 species